UUUGAAGGGACACCGGCGUUCAGACGCGGGCCCGCGUGAACGUCUUCACGAAGGCAGACUCCGGAAGGAUACGCGUCCUGAGACGGUUAAGCAGCCCCAGGGCCGUCGCGCAGAAAGCGUGUUUGCGACUCGAGAGCAUUUGAAAAUCGUAGCAUUUAUCGCUGACUUGUCUUGAGGCAGAACGAAUUGCUGUGCAGAGGUCCGCGCAGCUGUUGCUAAGCACUGAGCGCAUAAAGGCUGUUCCCUCGGCCGGGCCCCGGGGUCACGUUUCACUGGGAGAAGAUGGAGAGCGCGGGAUCAGUGACCGUGGCCGUGGCAGCCUUUCUGCCGAGAGCUGUGCCUGCUCGUUUCACAACUCUGCCCAAGAGCAAGGGAAGAGCCUUCUUCGGGGGCUGCUACUCCUCGUCCGUCGCUGGCGACAUAAAAUUCUCGUGACCGGGAUCCAGAUUGUGUCGUAGGAGGCAGGUCUUCAACCCUCUUCCGUGAAGAUUUCUGUGUGCGCGUAUCUCAAACGGAGGCUCAUGUAGUGUGCGUUCUUUGGAGUGGCAGGAUGCAAAUGCCAUUUUCACCGCUGUGUUUAAUCUAUUUGCAGGCACUCUUAAUACCUUAGGGAAAUAAAACUUUGAUCAUGA